rnacentral:ncRNA from 2 species
CUCUUAUCCAGAGAGGUGGAGGGGCUGGCCCGAUGAAACCCGGCAACCGGUGAACGAUUUUUGUUCACUAUGGUGCCAAUUCCUGCAAAGCGUAUGCUUUGAUAGAUGAGAG